AUAUCCAAGUCCCCAAAACUAUUUUUAACAAGCCAGGAUUCUAUUCAUGCUUACUCAUUGAUAGUCUGUAUCGACAAGUAGAAUUCUAUAUUGGCUAAGAACCUAAUGAUGUCCUCCCAACCCUCAAUCUGUAAUGUAUACUAUUGAAUUUAAACCACCAAGAUAAUUGUGUCCCUGGGAAUUAAAGAAUGCAUGUAGAGAAAGAAAAGAGAUGAAAGAGCAAUGUCUACUAUCACAAUUGUACCAGUGUGCACACUUUGGGUCCACCAGCUGUUAUCUGCACAUUUUCCAUCUGCCUUUACUAAUUUUAUUAUGACCUUUUAGAACUGACUUCAUCUGGUAGAGAGUUGGCUCUGACACAUUCAUUUAGUCAAUUUUAUCUUUGAACAACUAAAGAGAAGAAUGAGUAGCAAGUAGGAGUCUAUGCAGGAAAAUGUUCCAAACUAAUAUCCCAUUAUUCUUUUGUUAGGAAAUAAUGUUGUUGAGUGAAUUUAAGAUUCAGCUCAAAUACUUACUAAUUGGCAAAUCCACAGAUUACCUUAGGGAAUUGGUGUUAGAGAUAAACUCUUAAGCAGUUCAGGAUUGUUUGGAAAAUGUUUGUUUAAAGAGUUUUUUUACAUUUUAUGCAGAUGAAAAUCAGAAUCCUAGAAGGUAAUUCCCUUUAUUCUGACUUCAAAUCUAGAAAGAUUUACAUUAACUUUUCUUUCAUUACCUUUUCCCUCAUACACACACACACACACACACACAUUCAACACCUUAUUAAGAACAAGGUGUUUAGAACUCUUACUGUGUGCUCUGGUUCACUUACUGUGAACAAAUCAUUUUAUUUAUCCCAACAACCCAACAAGCUAGCUUAUAUUAUUGUACAUAUCAUCCAUAAGAAAAAACUGAACCCAUAAAAGGUUGAAUCUCUGAGUUUAAAUCUACAUGAGUCUUAAAUCUAAAGCCCAUUCUUUGUUCUCUUUACCAAGAUGGAGUUAUAUUCAUUAAUCAUUAAUUUUACUAGUUAGGUCUACUUGAUCUCUAACUUUUCUGGAGUCUAGGAAUACAAAGGUGAGUGAAAUGGACAUGAACUUCAAGGUUUGAAAGUAUGUGAAUAGUGUUCUCCUUGUAAAUUGAUCAUACUGUCAAUGAGCAAUUUCUGCACAUUCAUAGGCUUUAGUCCUCAACACAUGGUAUUCAGUGAUGCUGCAGAGGCCACCAACAAUGCUGGGAAUCUUCUGAAUUCUGUAAGACAGUAUGUAGAAUCCAGUCUUUGGUGGUUGUGUUAGCCUUAGCUGAUUGUUUAGGUGUUGGAGAAGACUCGAGAGUCCCUUGGACUGCAAGGAGAUCCAAGUCCAUCCUAAAAGAAAUCAGUCCUGGGUGUUCAUUGAAGGGCUGAUGUUGAAGCUGAAACUCAAUAUUUUGGCCACCUGAUGUGAAGAGCUGACUCAGUUGAAAAGACCCAGAUGUUGGGAAAGAGUGAAGGCAGGAGGAGAAGGGGACGACAGAG
rnacentral:lncRNA from 1 species